AACAACAUCCCUCAUUUUGUGUUCAUGAUAAGUUCAUGUUCCUACUGAGAACAGCCAGAGAUUCUGCAUCUUUAAGGAGAAGGGAGGAACAUUCUACUAAGUAUUAAGGAAAAAAGGAGCACAGAGGAAAGAGGAGACCAGCUCCAUCCAUUCCUACGUAAGCAACUUCCUGCAGUCAUGACUAGCCCAGAAUGGUCUAUGAGGAAGAAAAACAUACAUAAUAAAGAACAACUGAAGGAUUCUAAGUCUGGCUAUUAAAUUCAAGCAAAGUA